AUGCUCGCCGCUCGCUCACCGGUCUUCAGGGCAGAGCUCUUUGGCGCCAUGAGGGCGGAAGCCGCUGAUCCAAUCGAAAUUGAUGAUAUAGAAGCUGAUGUGUUCAAGUCCUUGCUCCAUUUCAUCUACACGGAUUCACUCCCUGAGAGCACUAAUGAAGAUGCAACACUAGAUGAUGUUGUGACAGCUAGCCAUCUACUUGUAGCGGCGGACAGAUACGACAUCGAGAGGCUGAAGCUGAUAUGUGAGGAGAAGUUGUGCAAUCACAUUGACACCAAAAUGGUUGCCACUAGUUUGGCUUUGGCCGAGCAGCAUAACUGCCAUGGACUCAAGGAGGCUUGCUUUGAGUUCCUUGCUUCUGCUUCCAAUUGGAGGCAAUGA
rnacentral:rRNA from 1 species